GUGAGUUGUUUCGACUUUGUUAUCAUCACUUUUUAUAAAUUCUAUUUGUCUGCUAAAAUAAUUUAAAGGUCUUUCGGUUAUAGGUAUGUGGUGUUGACUAUCUUCUUGAGCGCUAUGUGUAGUUGCUCCUGUGCUAACUGCAUCAUCUCCUAAGAAAUUCUCUUCUAUUUUUAUACGCGAAAGUGCAUCUGCCACAUUAUUCUCUUUUCCUGGAUUUGGAAUUUUCUACCGAAUAGCUGAAUAGUUUGAUUCGUGUUCGUUUAAAGUUCGACUUGCAUGGCAAAUGGGUUUGUGUUCCUGUGACAGAACGGCGCCUAUAGCGAAGUUGCUA